CCCGCUUCCCCCUCCGGCCUUUGCUGCAGCUGUGCUCUCAGCCUGGAUGGAAUACCUUGUCACCCCCCCAGCCUGACCAAUCCUUGAUCCCUCUACUGCAGAGGUCCCGAACCCCGGUCCCCGGCCUAUUAGGAACCAGAAGGAGGUGAGCGACGGGCAAGUGAGUGAAGCUUCAUCUGUAUCUGCAGCCGCUCCCCAGGGCCAACAUGACCACCUCAGCUCCACCUCAGGCCCUCAGGCGUUAGAUUCUCAGGAGCACCCAUCCUGGUGCCACAAAGGUGGCUGCUGUCCCCCCCAGCACACACACACCCCAGGCUGCAGCCAUGUCGAGCUGACCCCAGGGAGGCAGAGAUGCAGCGGCCGGAAGCACAGAGUCCAGAACCAUCCAUGGAGCUGGGGAGACGUGUGGAAGCAGCCGUGGGACGCCGCCUUGGCGGGGGGUCCCCAAACACAGCGUCUCGAGAGCAUUUGCAGAACACCAGAAUGUUCCAGCAAUAAAGCCAAGGAGAGCUACAUGUUCUACUCCCUCGCGCCCAGCCAUUUCUUUUCAUACCAAAAACAACUCAGAAAACAAGUGAAGGCUCUGGAACAGCCUGGCAGCAAGAAUCCCGGGGGGCUGGGGGGCAACUAACAGUUUUCACUCCCACCUUGUUGCUAACAGGCAUCCCCAAAUGUCCUAUAAACCACAGAUAUCUUCUGUCCAGAAUAAUAACAGGCAGGAAAAAAUUUA